rnacentral:misc_RNA from 1 species
CAAGGUGUUGAGCGGAGGUCACUCAAGAGCGUUUCCACGGGAGAAGACAACACACUAAGGGGUAAAUGUCGGCACCUAUCUCGGACCGUCCUGCGUGUAGCUACCCCGUCUGCCGCACAGUGUAUGUCCGAGCAUGCCCCCUUCGGGGGGUAGGCUUAAUGAACUCCGGCGCAGGAGUCACCGACCAACUCUACUCUGUUAACCAGAGGCCGCGAGGCCGCAAAAAGUACUAUUCUAAGCGGUGGAUCACUCGGCUCGCAGGUCGAUGAAGAACGCACCCAACUGCGGUAAUUAAUGCGAAUUGCAGACACAUUGAGCAUCGACACUUCGAACGCACAUUGCGGCACCAGGUUCAUUCCUGGUGCCACGUCUGUCUGAGGGUCGCGAUUCUGACAGCUCUUCGUACCCGAACGAUCCGGGACGUGCCAGGGGAGCCUAUGUCUGAAGCCAACGGCAGCUUCCGCCGGACGCUUAGGACAGCUCUUCAGUGGAUAGACAGCCAACAGAAUUUGGUUGGCAGACCUGGUCCCUGUCGGGGCUCGAAGGAGAAACGACUACUCUCCAAGAGCCCUGUAGGAUCAACUAUCCGACCUCAGAUCAGACGUGAUAACCUGCUGAACUUAAGCAUAUCACUAGGCGGAGGAAAA